rnacentral:tRNA from 1 species
AAUAGAAGAUAUUAUAAAUUAAAAUCUUAUUUGUUACUUAUAUUUUACUAAAUAUAAUUAUUAGUUUCAUUUU